ensembl:lncRNA
UUACAAAAUGCUGUGCUUUCUAUCAAGAGCACAAACAGAAUGAAGCAGUGACAGUCAGUAAUCAUGAAAGAAUUCAGUGAUUGGUUGUUGUUGUUGGGAACAUUGGGAACAAUGGUGAUCAGUGAUUGGUCGUUAGGAACAAUGGUGAUCAGUGAUUGGUUGUUAGGAAUAAUGAAGAUCAGUGAUUGGUGCUUAGGAACAAUGGUGAUCAGUGAUUGGUCGAUAUGAACAAUGGUGAUCAGUGAUUGGUCUUUAGGAACAAUGGUGAUCAGUGAUUGGUCGUUAUGAACAAUGGUGAUCAGUGAUUGGUCUUUAGGAACAAUGGUGAUCAGUGAUUGGUCUUUAGGAACAAUGGUGAUCAGUGAUUGGUCGUUAUGAACAAUGGUGAUCAGUGAUUGGUCUUUAGGAACAAUGGUGAUCAGUGAUUGGUCGUUAUGAACAAUGGUGAGCAGUGAUUGGUCGUUACGAACAAUGGUGAUCAGUGAUUGAUCCUUAGGAACAAUGGUGAUCAGUG